ensembl:lncRNA
AAGUAAGACUGCAUGUAACCAGAAGGCUGCAUUGUACAUAGCAGAACCUGAUAGAGUGGAAAAAAUAAACCGUAUGAACUGGGAAAUAUAGCAGUAUUAACAAGAAGCAGGCAGUGUACAUGGCAAGGAUAAAUAUCCUGAAAUUCCUAAAUAGAAGAAGAAUAGUAGAAGAAUACAAACAAAAACAAUAGUGUUUCAGCACCAUCAGUGCUUGACCCUUCAACUAAGAUUGAGAUUGAGAACCAUAUUCAUUCUUCAUUUUCUUUGCUCUACUGAAGCUGUAACCAGAGGUCCGUGACCGUGACCAUGACCAUGACCAUGUCCGUGACCAUGACCCUUGCCUUGCCCUUGUCCUGGUCCUUUUCCCUUGCCUUCACCUUUGCCUUCACCCUUGCCUUCACCCUUGCCUUCACCCUGGCAUUGUUUGCUCUUAUCGCACUG